rnacentral:lncRNA from 1 species
CCCAGCUGAGCCUCCUGGCUCUCCCUGGGGAAGGUGAGUGAAACCAUCCUGAGGAGGGGAGCCUGAAGAGGGACUGUGGUGGAACAGAGUUGAGGAGUUAGAGGAAGACUUCGGAACGUGCUGUUAAUCUCUGGGGAGGCUGGCCCAGGGGUACACAGUGAGGGGGCAGAAGUGGACCCUUUUUUUCCUGGGCCUUCCCUUGGGUUGUCUGAGGGAUCCCUCUGGCUGUCUGCAGUAGAAGAUGAAAUGGACGAGGAAGAAAAGGAGGAGGCGGCUUCUCGGCCCAGUUUGACCAUCCCAGAGGACCUGGACAGCCGAGAGGCCAUGGUGAGCUGUGCUCUCCUGUCCCUUCCCCAGCUCACCUUUUCUGCCUCCCUCUGUGGUCCCUCUGGAUGUCCUGAUACCUUGGUUUUUCCCACUCCCAUUUCCGCCAACACCCACACCUCCCGUGGAGACAGGGAUUGGAUACGUGCCCCCCUAGGAAAAAUAGUGACCCACUGAGGCCCAGGGGAGGGCUGCUCUGCUCUGCUCUCUGCUCCCUGGUUUGUCCCGAGCAUUUUUUCAAUAAAAAGGACAUGUCUGCCUCUAGGUGGUAUUUUUUAAUGCGGCUCUAGCCAAUGCCGAGGAAGAGAAGGCACGGCUGCGCAGGCAGCUGAGGGAGCAGCAGACACGCUGCCGGCGCCUGGCUUAUCUGGAAGCCACAUCCCAGAGUGAGCCCACAGAGCAAGCCCUGGUCCCCAGGAGUGGGGACAAUUGUGUGUCUGGGGAGAGCACCCAGGCUCUACAGAUGGCCAUGGAGAAGCUGCAGGUGAGUGAGCCUUUCCCAACAGAGGAAGUGUAGAUACAGGACAGGUCCCUCCUGAGUCUUGACCCUGCUAUUUUGGCCUCAGAGCCGCUUCCUGGAGGUCAUGCAGGAGAAGGUGGAGCUCAAGGAGCGGGUGGAGGAACUGGAACAUCGCUGCAUCCAGCUCUCUGGAGAGACGGAUACCAUCGGUGAGCCCAGCUGGGGCCCAAGGCAGUGGGGGUUGCAUAGGGGCCUGUUGGGGGAGCCCCAGCAUCUGAGUCCUGUGCCCUGCCCUCCCUGCAGGAGAGUAUAUUGCCCUCUACCAAAAUCAGAGGGCAGUGCUGAAGGAGCGCCACCGAGAGAAGGAGGAGUACAUCAGCCGACUGGCGCAGGACAAGGAGGAGAUGAAGGUAGGAGCCCCUGAACAUCUCUUCUCUGCGGGCCUGCAGGCUGGGCGGGGGCCGGGAUACUGAGCAUCUCUCCCUUCAGGUCAAGUUGCUGGAGCUGCAGGAGCUGGUGCUGCGGCUUGUGGGGGAGCGUAACGAGUGGCAGGGCAAGUUUCUGGCAGCGGCCCAGAGUCCUGCUGAAACCACCACUCCAGAGCCAGCAAGCCCCCAGGAAUUUGGAGCAACUGACAAGCAGGGUGGUGAGUAGAGACCUCAGGACGGGCUGACAGGAGGAGCAGCAGAGGGCUGCUCCGUGCUCAGAGGCCUUUCCUCUCUCCAAAGACCUUCAAGAGGUGAGCCUUGCUGACAGCGUGGAGCCGGCACAAGGAGAGGCUGGGGCGGCUUCUCCCCCUGAGAACCACACUGCGCAGCAGAUCAUACAGCUGCUGCGCAAGAUCCAGAACCCCCAGGAACGCCUCGGCCUGGGCACCAACCCCUGCGUCCCCUUCUUCUACCGUGCCGACGACAAUGAUGAGGUUAAGAUCAUGGUCAUCUAAGUCGGAGGCCGGGGAGGAGGGGCCAGGGACUUUUCCCCCAUCUGUCCCUUACCCCCCUGUCCCUGCCAUUCCUUCCCAGUUACCCUUUUACCCUUAGGACUAGCAAGUUAAGACCCCUAACAGGGGACAAACAGGUGCAGACCCUUUGCCACCUUGGCUAGGGCUGAGUCUUGAUUUCUGGACUCUUGCUCCAGAAAGAGAGCCAGAGGCUCAUAAUUUUCUAGAGGGGCAGGGCUCUCUAGUGGUCCCCUUGCCCUCACCAAGCAGACCUUCAUUUAGGGGGCUCUCUCCUCUUACAAGAGGCACUUUGGGGCAGGCAAGUUGGGCAGCAUUUUCACAGCCCUUAAGAUGGGGCUCGGGCUGGGGAUGUGGCUCAAGCGGUAGCGCGCUCGCCUGGCAUGCGUGCGGCCCGGGUUCGAUCCUCAGCACCACAUACAAAACAGAGAUGUUGUGUCCGCUGAUAACUAAAAAAUAUUAAAAAAAAAAAAAAAAAAGAUGGGGCUCACUGUAGGCGGGGCUGGGGCAGAGUCUGGCGGGGGCAGUCCUCCAUUCAGCAGGGCUCCCGUCUUAGAGGCACUUUGGCAGGUCAGCUGGGCAGCAUUCUCAUGGGUCUUCAAACAUUUAGGGUCACUGAAGGCUAGGCGAGGGCAGCGUGGGCGCAGGCAGUCCUGAGGGCUCCCAUCCUCAGAAGUAUCUUGGGCAGGGCUACUGGGCAGAAUUCUCAGGCCUUAUGACAGUUGAGGCUAACUGUAGGCCAGGCAGGGCAGAGGCUGCUGGGGGGGGUGGGCCUCCCCUCGCCCAGUGUACAUAUUGUACCUGUGUAUCAUUUUGUAAAUUCUGGGGUAGGACUGCCCCCUGUAUCAUAGUUGGAGCUGGCAAAUGGAGAGAAGGGUCUAAUAAUUAUUUGGGAUUGGAAAACUUAUUUAUUGAUAGCAUAGGACAAAGGAAGGAGGCAGGGAUGGGGUUGUGGUGCCCUGGUGAUGCAGCUCCUGUUUAUUUUGCUUUUUAUUUCGGAAUAAAUGGAUUUAGCCAUACCGCUCAGCCUUGGA